CACAAUCUCACCAAAUGGAAUCUCUAUGGGAAGACUUCAAAGCUGCUGGUUUUUGAGAUGGAGUAUGGGAGUUUACCUGUUCAGAUGAUCCUACCAGCUCUACAGUGCACGUACUUUGCUCUCUUAUGGCAGCUAGCUUCAGUUGUGGAGAGGUCAUCUUCCAAGGUUGGCCAGUGCAAAUCAUUCUGCAACCAAGUGGUGCACUUUAAAGGAGACUCUUUUGGCAUUGAACAGAGAGUUGAGAUUUUUCUGCCAGAUUUGUGCAUGCUACCUCAGC
rnacentral:lncRNA from 1 species